rnacentral:rRNA from 1 species
AAUUGGAGGGCAAGUCUGGUGCCAGCAGCCGCGGUAAUUCCAGCUCCAAUAGCGUAUAUUAAAGUUGUUGCAGUUAAAAAGCUCGUAGUUGAAUUUCGGGAUCAAUAUUUCGGUCAUGCCGUUGGUAUGCACUGUUAUCAUUGAUUUCUCACCUUCUAAAGAACCGUAAUGCCAUUAAUUUGGUGUUACGGGGAAUUAGGACUGUUACCUUGAAAAAAUUAGAGUGUUUAAGGCAGGCUCACGCUUGAAUACAUUAGCAUGGAAUAAUGAAAUAGGACAUCCGAUUCUAUUUUGUUGGUUUCUAGGAUCGAUGUAAUGAUUAAUAGGGAUAGUUGGGGGCAUUAGUAUUCAAUUGUCAGAGGUGAAAUUCUUGGAUUUAUUGAAGACUAACUACUGCGAAAGCAUUUGCCAAGGAUGUUUUCAUUAAUCAAGAACGAAAGUUAGGGGAUCGAAGACGAUCAGAUACCGUCGUAGUCUUAACCAUAAACUAUGCCGACUAGGGAUCGGAUGAUGUUAAUUUUUUAAUGACUCAUUCGGCGCCUUACGGGAAACCAAAGUGU